rnacentral:rRNA from 1 species
AUUGAACGCUGGCGGAAUGCUUUACACAUGCAAGUCGAACGGCAGCACGGGGGCAACCCUGGUGGCGAGUGGCGAACGGGUGAGUAAUACAUCGGAACAUGCCCAGUCGUGGGGGAUAACGUAGCGAAAGUUACGCUAAUACCGCAUACGAUCUACGGAUGAAAGCGGGGGGCCGUAAGGCCUCGCGCGAUUGGAGCGGCCGAUGUCAGAUUAGGUAGUUGGUGAGGUAAAGGCUCACCAAGCCGACGAUCUGUAGCUGGUCUGAGAGGACGACCAGCCACACUGGGACUGAGACACGGCCCAGACUCCUACGGGAGGCAGCAGUGGGGAAUUUUGGACAAUGGGCGCAAGCCUGAUCCAGCCAUUCCGCGUGCAGGACGAAGGCCUUCGGGUUGUAAACUGCUUUUGUACGGAACGAAAAGGCUCUGGUUAAUACCUGGGGCUCAUGACGGUACCGUAAGAAUAAGCACCGGCUAACUACGUGCCAGCCGCCGCAGUAA